ACUGAACGCUGGCGGCAGGCCUAACACAUGCAAGUCGAGCGGAUGAAGGGAGCUUGCUCCUGGAUUCAGCGGCGGACGGGUGAGUAAUGCCUAGGAAUCUGCCUGGUAGUGGGGGAUAACGUCCGGAAACGGGCGCUAAUACCGCAUACGUCCUGAGGGAGAAAGUGGGGGAUCUUCGGACCUCACGCUAUCAGAUGAGCCUAGGUCGGAUUAGCUAGUUGGUGGGGUAAAGGCCUACCAAGGCGACGAUCCGUAACUGGUCUGAGAGGAUGAUCAGUCACACUGGAACUGAGACACGGUCCAGACUCCUACGGGAGGCAGCAGUGGGGAAUAUUGGACAAUGGGCGAAAGCCUGAUCCAGCCAUGCCGCGUGUGUGAAGAAGGUCUUCGGAUUGUAAAGCACUUUAAGUUGGGAGGAAGGGCAGUAAGUUAAUACCUUGCUGUUUUGACGUUACCAACAGAAUAAGCGCCGGCUAACUUCGUG
rnacentral:rRNA from 1 species